rnacentral:tRNA from 1 species
UGCCUAUUUAGCUCAAUUGGUUAGAGCCUCCGUUUCAUACGCGGAAGGUUACUAGUUCAAAUCUAGUAAUAGGUAUC